AACGAACGCUGGCGGCAUGCCUAACACAUGCAAGUCGAACGAGACCUUCGGGUCUAGUGGCGCACGGGUUCGUAACGCGUGGGAACCUGCCCUUAGGUUCGGAAUAACUCCCCGAAAGGGGUGCUAAUACCGGAUAAUUUCUUCGGACCAAAGAUUUAUCUCCUUUGGAUGGGCCCGCGUUGGAUUAUCUAGUUGGUAGGGUAAAAGCCUACCAAGGCUACGAUCCAUAGCUGGUCUGAGAGGAGGAUCAGCCACACUGGGACUGAGACACGGCCCAGACUCACACGGGAGGAAGAAGUGGGGAAUAUUGGACAAUGGGCGAAAGAAUGAUCCAGCAAUGCCGCGUGAGUGAUGAAGGACUUAGGGUUGUAAAGCUCUUUUACCCGGGAUGAUAAUGACAGUACCGGGAGAAUAAGCGCCGGCUAACUCCGUG
rnacentral:rRNA from 1 species